AUUUAUAGAAAUCAGGAAGAGUAGAUUUAGCAUAAUUCUUAAGGGCCAUAGGGUUUUCAGAAUGGUAAAUGAGCAUUGGCUUCAAUUGAAAGUCACCAGUUGCAUUAGCCCCUACCAAGAGAGUCAGCCUGUCCUUUGAAGCUUUUGUCAGUCAUUAACUUCUCCUCUAUAGCUAUGAAAGUCCUAAAUGGCAUCUUUCUCCAAUAGGAAACUGUGUUGUCUGCAUUGAAAAUCUAUUGUUUAGU